GUGGGGAAUCUUCCGCAAUGGACGAAAGUCUGACGGAGCGACGCCGCGUGAGUGAAGAAGGCCUUCGGGUCGUAAAGCUCUGUCAUCAGGGACGAACGGCCGGUGGAGUGGAAAGCCACCGGAUUGACGGUACCUGAGAAGGAAGCCACGGCUAACUACGUGCCAGCAGCCGCGGUAAUACGUAGGUGGCAAGCGUUGUCCGGAAUUAUUGGGCGUAAAGCGCGCGCAGGUGGGAUCUUAAGUCCAUUUUUAAAGUUCGGAGCUCAACUCCGUGAUGGGAUGGAAACUGGGAUUCUUGAGUACCGGAGAGGAAAGCGGAAUUCCCCGUGUAGCGGUGAAAUGCGUAGAUAUGGGGAGGAACACCAGUGGCGAAGGCGGCUUUCUGGACGGUGUCGGACACUGAGGCGCGAAAGCCAGGGGAGCGAACGGGAUUAGAAACCCGAGUAGUCC
rnacentral:rRNA from 1 species